rnacentral:rRNA from 1 species
GACGAACGUUGGCGGCGUGCUUAACACAUGCAAGUCGAACGGAAAGGCCCUGCUUUUGUGGGGUGCUCGAGUGGCGAACGGGCGAGUAACACGUGAGUAACCUGCCCUUGACUUUGGGAUAACUUCAGGAAACUGGGGCUAAUACCGGAUAGGAGCUCCUGCUGCAUGGUGGGGGUUGGAAAGUUUCGGCGGUUGGGGAUGGACUCGCGGCUUAUCAGCUUGUUGGUGGGGUAGUGGCUUACCAAGGCUUUGACGGGUAGCCGGCCUGAGAGGGUGACCGGCCACAUUGGGACUGAGAUACGGCCCAGACUCCUACGGGAGGCAGCAGUGGGGAAUAUUGCACAAUGGGCGGAAGCCUGAUGCAGCAACGCCGCGUGCGGGAUGACGGCCUUCGGGUUGUAAACCGCUUUCGCCUGUGACGAAGCGUGAGUGACGGUAAUGGGUAAAGAAGCACCGGCUAACUACGUGCCAGCAGCCGCGGUGAUACGUAGGGUGCGAGCGUUGUCCGGAUUUAUUGGGCGUAAAGGGCUCGUAGGUGGUUGAUCGCGUCGGAAGUGUAAUCUUGGGGCUUAACCCUGAGCGUGCUUUCGAUACGGGUUGACUUGAGGAAGGUAGGGGAGAAUGGAAUUCCUGGUGGAGCGGUGGAAUGCGCAGAUAUCAGGAGGAACACCAGUGGCGAAGGCGGUUCUCUGGGCCUUUCCUGACGCUGAGGAGCGAAAGCGUGGGGAGCGAACAGGCUUAGAUACCCUGGUAGUCCACGCUGUAAACGGUGGGUACUAGGUGUGGGGUCCAUUCCACGGGUUCCGUGCCGUAGCUAACGCUUUAAGUACCCCGCCUGGGGAGUACGGCCGCAAGGCUAAAACUCAAAGGAAUUGACGGGGCCCCGCACAAGCGGCGGAGCAUGCGGAUUAAUUCGAUGCAACGCGUAGAACCUUACCUGGGUUUGACAUGGAUCGGGAGCGCUCAGAGAUGGGUGUGCCUCUUUUGGGGUCGGUUCACAGGUGGUGCAUGGCUGUCGUCAGCUCGUGUCGUGAGAUGUUGGGUUAAGUCCCGCAACGAGCGCAACCCUUGUUCACUGUUGCCAGCACGUUAUGGUGGGGACUCAGUGGAGACCGCCGGGGUCAACUCGGAGGAAGGUGGGGAUGACGUCAAGUCAUCAUGCCCCUUAUGUCCAGGGCUUCACGCAUGCUACAAUGGCUGGUACAGAGAGUGGCGAGCCUGUGAGGGUGAGCGAAUCUCGGAAAGCCGGUCUCAGUUCGGAUUGGGGUCUGCAACUCGACCUCAUGAAGUCGGAGUCGCUAGUAAUCGCAGAUCAGCAACGCUGCGGUGAAUACGUUCCCGGG